CUGGGGAAAGUUUAACUUUUUUCGCUCCUGAUGAAUUUUGAUUUGAUCGAUAUUACCUGUGAAUUUAAGAUUAAAAUUUUUGUGUUAUUGUUGUUCGUCUUGUUACACGGAUCAAGUUGAUACCAGGAUUAUGAUAGAUCGACAGUGGCUUUGGUGUUUUUCUUUGUUGCCCUUAAAACUGAGCUAUUAUUGCGUCGUAAUAACUUCAACCAUUUUGUUUAUUGAUUGAAAUCCUAAUUUUAUUUUUCUCCUUCUCUUCAUGACAAACCUAAUGAGUCAAACUACCUCUGGACCCGAUUUUCAUCUUCGUUUCAAACAACCAUUUUCAUGGACAAAUCUAUUAAUGAGUCAACCCUCUAAUACAUUUACCUACAUCAGGUAUAUUUAAACACGAA